GGAUUAUUCAAAGGACAGCACAGCACAGAAGGAAGCAACUUUUCCAAAUGCAGAAGAGUUCGGCUAUUUCAACAGAGAGGCUGGGUGAAAUUCAGCUGCAAGUCAAUGGUUGGGGAUUUCCUUUCACCACAUUUUCUCUGGUCCCUUAAUUGUUUUUAAAUCUUGCUGAGUACUUUGUUUACAGUCCCUAGUACAGGGAUUUGCAUCCCCUGCUCCUGUUUGUGCUGUCCAAGAGUCUGUCUCAGUUCCAUUCUGCCUAGAGCAAGAGCUCCCCCCUGGCCAAGACACAUUACCAGUGGGGAUUAAGAGAGCUGCUGCAGCCUUCUUUUUCUCAAGUUGACAGAAGAGAUUCAGAGAGAUAAGACUUACUCUUUCUUUCCUAAGAGAUCACGCUGAGUUUGAUGUCAAUGGAUUUCCUUUUUCUGAGGGUAUUCCUUAAUGGACACAUCCAGAAUUAGUCUAAAACUUCACCAAGAAAUCCCUGCAGUACAAUAUGCCUGAAGAGCACUUUAAAGAGAUUUUGGGAGCACCAAAAGGUCCAGAGCCGAGAUCCCAGAAAGCUUCUAGCCUUCCCUGUGACUCCCUCUGGAUUUGCUGUGCUUCAAACUCGUAGACCCUUCUGAGCCCACCCACUGAGACAAGCCUCUGCUCUGGAGCAAG
rnacentral:lncRNA from 1 species